AGUUAAAAUAAACUGUCUUAUUGGCAGAACAGAGUGUGAUCAUGAGAUACCAUUCAGCUUUUAUGCUGAUUCAUCAGCUCACAGUGAAACAAGCUUGCAAGAGAGCAUCCCAGGACCACUCAACAUUCAGAGACUAGGAGAGGAAAUAUCCCCAGGAGAAAUGCCAUGCAUGACCAGGGUUGAUGAUAUGGAACACACCCCACAAAGAUGCUUUGCCUUUGGGUACCAGGUCUUAAAAUCCUACAAAACUAAGGUAAUAGAAUACUUGAAGGCAUCACACAGAAGGUACAGCUUCAAAUCCUGUUCUAGGGCUCAGGACCAGAUGUAUGGACCCCACUCCUGAGUUAAUUUGCUGUAAAACAUGCGGUAUUUAAAAACUUUUACUAAAAUCUUGUUCCUGU
rnacentral:lncRNA from 1 species